UACGUAGGGGGCUAGCGUUGUCCGGAAUCAUUGGGCGUAAAGCGCGUGUAGGCGGCCCGGUAAGUCCGCUGUGAAAGUCGAGGGCUCAACCCUCGAAUGCCGGUGGAUACUGUCGGGCUAGAGUACGGAAGAGGCGAGUGGAAUUCCUGGUGUAGCGGUGAAAUGCGCAGAUAUCAGGAGGAACACCCAUUGCGAAGGCAGCUCGCUGGGACGUUACUGACGCUAAGGCGCGAAAGCGUGGGGAGCGAACAGG
rnacentral:rRNA from 1 species